CCUGGAUGAUCCUGCCAGUAGCAUAUGCGUGUCUCAAAGAUUAAGCCAUGCAAGUUUAAGUACACACAACGGUACAGUGAAACUGCAAAUGGCUCAUUAAAUCAGUUAUGGUUCCUUUGAUCGCUCCAUCUGUUACUUGGAUAACUGGGGUAAUUCUAGAGCUAAUACAUGCCAAUGAGUGCGGACCUCCCGGGAUGCGUGCAUUUAUCAGACCAAGACCAAUCUGGGCUUGCAUGGCCACUUUGGUGACUCUAGAUAACCUCGGGCCGAUCGCACGUCCCUAUGCAUUCGGAUGUCUGCCCUUUCAACUUUCGAUGGUACUUUCUGUGCCUACCAUGGUGACCACGGGUAAUGGGGAAUGAGGGUUUGAUUCUGGAGAGGGAGUCUGAGAAACGGCUACCACAUCACAGGAAGGCAGCAGGCACCGAAAUUACCCACUCCCGUCUCUGGGAGGUAGUAACGAAAAAUAACAAUACAGGACUCUUUCGAGGCACUGUAAUUGAAAUGAGUAGACUUUUUAAAUCCUUUAACGAGUACCCAUUGGAGGCCAAGUCUGGUGCCAGCAGCCGUGGUAAUUCCAGCUCCAAUAGCAUAUAUUAUAGUUUCUGGCAGUUAAAAGGCUCGUAGUUGGAUCUUGGGAUCGAGCUGGCGGCCCGCCGCGAGGCGAGCUAUCGCCUGUCCCAGCUCCUGCCUCUUGGCGCCACCUUGAUGCUUUUGACUAAGUGUCCUGGGGGUCUGAAGCAUUUACUUUGAGAAAAGUAGAGUGUUCAAAGCAGGCCGGUCGCCUGAAUACUUCAGCUAGGAAUAAUGGAAUAGGGCUCUGGUUCCAUUUUGUUUUUCGGAAACUGGGGCCAUGAUUAAGAGGUAUGGAUGGGGGCAUUCAUAUUGUGACGCUAGAGGUGAAAUUCUUGGACUGGCGCAAGACGAACCAAAGUGAAAGCAUUAGCCAAUAAUGUUUUCGUUAAUCAAGAACAAACAUCUGAGGUUCAAAGAUGAUAUGAUACCAUCGUAGUUCCGACCAUAAACGAUGCUGAUUAGCGAUCUGGCGGCGUUAUUCCCAUGACCCGUCGAGACGCUUCCGGGAAACCAAAGUCUUUGCGUUCCGGGGGGAGUAUGGUUGCAAAGCUGAAACUUAAAGGAAUUGACGGAAGGGCACCACCAGGAGUGGAGCCUGUGGCUUAAUUUGACUCAACACGGGAAACCUCACCCGGCAUGAACACGGAAAAGAUUGACAGAUUGAUAGCUCUUUCUCGAUUCUGUGGGUGGUGGUGCAUGGCCGUUCUUAGUUACUGGGGCGAUUUGUCUGGUUAAUUCCGAUAACUAACGAGACUCCUCCUUGCCAACUAAUUAUUUCCAAUGAAUGAGGAAUUCCCAUUAAGUGCGAGUCAUAAGCGUGCAUUCAUUAAGUCCCUACCCUUUGUACACACCGCCCGCAGCUACUACUGAUUGGAUGGUUUAGUGAGGUCCUCGGAUCAGCCCCGCCGGCAAAGCCCCUUGCGGAGCGGCAAGAAGACGAUCAAGCUGGACUAGAGGAAUUAAAAGUCGUACAGGUUGGGUUAACCUGCUGGGGACGUCACC
rnacentral:rRNA from 1 species